rnacentral:tRNA from 1 species
GAAGCUAUAGCCCAGUAGUAGGGCACAUGCUUAGCAUGCAUGAGGUCCUGAGUUCAAUCCCCAGUGCCUCCA